UCCUGGCUCAGGAUGAACGCUGACAGAAUGCUUAACACAUGCAAGUCAACUUGAACUUCGGUUUGGGUGGCGGACGGGUGAGUAACGCGUAAAGAACUUGCCUCACAGUUAGGGACAACAUUUGGAAACGAAUGCUAAUACCUGAUAUUAUGAUUUUAGGGCAUCCUAGAAUUAUGAAAGCUAUAUGCGCUGUGAGAGAGCUUUGCGUCCCAUUAGCUAGUUGGAGAGGUAACGGCUCACCAAGGCGAUGAUGGGUAGCCGGCCUGAGAGGGUGAUCGGCCACAAGGGGACUGAGACACGGCCCUUACUCCUACGGGAGGCAGCAGUGGGGAAUAUUGGACAAUGGACCAAGAGUCUGAUCCAGCAAUUCUGUGUGCACGAUGAAGUUUUUCGGAAUGUAAAGUGCUUUCAGUUGGGAAGAAAAAAAUGACGGUACCAACAGAAGAAGUGACGGCUAAAUACGUGCCAGCAGCCGCGGUAAUACGUAUGUCACAAGCGUUAUCCGGAUUUAUUGGGCGUAAAGCGCGUCUAGGUGGUUAUGUAAGUCUGAUGUGAAAAUGCAGGGCUCAACUCUGUAUUGCGUUGGAAACUGUGUAACUAGAGUACUGGAGAGGUAAGCGGAACUACAAGUGUAGAGGUGAAAUUCGUAGAUAUUUGUAGGAAUGCCGAUGGGGAAGCCAGCUUACUGGACAGAUACUGACGCUGAAGCGCGAAAGCGUGGGUAGCAAACAGGAUUAGAUACCCUGGUAGUCCACGCCGUAAACGAUGAUUACUAGGUGUUGGGGGUCGAACCUCAGCGCCCAAGCAAACGCGAUAAGUAAUCCGCCUGGGGAGUACGUACGCAAGUAUGAAACUCAAAGGAAUUGACGGGGACCCGCACAAGCGGUGGAGCAUGUGGUUUAA
rnacentral:rRNA from 1 species